rnacentral:rRNA from 1 species
AUACGGAGGGUGCGAGCGUUAAUCGGAAUUACUGGGCGUAAAGCGUACGUAGGCGGUUGGUUAAGUUAGAUGUGAAAGCCCCGGGCUUAACCUGGGAACUGCAUUUAAAACUGGCGAACUAGAGUUGAGUAGAGGGGAGUGGAAUUUCAGGUGUAGCGGUGAAAUGCGUAGAGAUCUGAAGGAACACCAGUGGCGAAGGCGACUCCCUGGACUCGAACUGACGCUGAGGUACGAAAGCGUGGGGAGCAAACGGGAUUAGAAACCCUAGUAGUCC